UACAGAGGUCCCAAGCGUUGUUCGGAUUCACUGGGCGUAAAGGGUGCGUAGGCGGUCGGGUAAGUCUGAUGUGAAAUCUCACAGCUUAACUGUGAAACUGCAUUGGAUACUAUCCGGCUUGAGGAAUGGAGGGGAGACUGGAAUACUUGGUGUAGCAGUGAAAUGCGUAGAGAUCGGGAGGAACACCAGUGGCGAAGGCGGCCUUCUGGACCAGCACUGACACUCAAGCACGAAAGCGUGGGGAGCAAACAGG
rnacentral:rRNA from 1 species